rnacentral:misc_RNA from 1 species
UAUGUGGAUUUGAUAGAGCAGUGGUCAACUAUUUUGAUGUUAUUGGAGUUGCACUAUUUUUCAGCACAGCUUUGAGGAUUUUGAAUGUGCAAGUUGGAGAGACAUCAAGGCUGGCCUGGAUUGGCGCAGACGCUGAUCCUCUGGUUCAGUCGGAUAGCAUUUUGAAGGCUUACAACAGACCUUCUGAGGAUGUCGCUACAACAUCAUCUUCAAAAUGGUUUAUAUCGAAGAAAAACCUUGUUUCUGGGCUAGGGCUUCUUGGCAUCAAACAAGGGAAUGUCGAUUCUGUUGAUGUAGAAGCAUCAUCAGCUCCAAAGGCCCGGAGAAAAAGGGUUGUCCGGAAGAAGGUGUCUGCAAGUUCAGCAUAAUUCAUUUGAUGUAAUCACCAUCAUCCAAGUUUGCUACCCUCUUAAAUGAUAUAAAAGGAAACUAUGCAUCAAUUUAAGGAUUAAAAUCGGCUCGGAGUAAUUCAUCAUGAUUCCUAUGUAGAUCUACAAGAUGGCACCAAAGCAACCAUCACCAGAAGAAUUUUUUGGGGGAAAAACAUGUUUAAUUUUUGUAUUUCACUUGUUUUUUUUUUGAGUUUAAUAACAGUAUCUUUAGUUGAAUCUCAACACUGAUAUUGACUGCAUUU